rnacentral:rRNA from 1 species
UACGGGGGGGGUAAGCGUUGUUCGGAAUUACUGGGCGUAAAGGGCUCGUAGGCGGCCAACUAAGUCGGACGUGAAAUCCCUCAGCUUAACUGGGGAACUGCGUCCGAUACUGGAUGGCUUGGAUUUGGGAGAGGGAUGCGGAAUUCCAGGUGUAGCGGUGAAAUGCGUAGAUAUCUGGAGGAACACCGGUGGCGAAGGCGGCAUCCUGGACCGAGAUUGACGCUGAGGCGCGAAAGCUAGGGGAGCAAACGGG